UCUCCGUAGGUGAACCUGCGGAGGGAUCAUUACUGAGUGAGGGCUCACGCCCGACCUCCAACCCUUUUGUGAACCACCUCGUUGCUUCGGGGGCGACCCUGCCGGCACUCUGUCGCCGGGCGCCCCCGAAGGUCUCCAAACACUGCAUCUUUGCGUCGGAGUUUAAAACAAAUUAAACAAAACUUUCAACAACGGAUCUCUUGGUUCUGGCAUCGAUGAAGAACGCAGC
rnacentral:misc_RNA from 1 species